GACGAACGCUGGCGGCGUGCUUAACACAUGCAAGUCGAACGGAAAGGCCCUGCUUUUGUGGGGUGCUCGAUUGGCGAACGGGUGAGUAACACGUGAGUAACCUGCCCUUGACUUUGGGAUAACUUCAGGAAACUGGGGCUAAUACCGGAUAGGAGCUCCUGCUGCAUGGUGGGGGUUGGAAAGUUUCGGCGGUUGGGGAUGGACUCGCGGCUUAUCAGCUUGUUGGUGGGGUAGUGGCUUACCAAGGCUUUGAAGGGUAGCCGGCCUGAGAGGGUGACCGGCCACAUUGGGACUGAGGUACGGCCCAGACUCCUACGGGAGGCAGCAGUGGGGAAUAUUGCACAAUGGGCGGAAGCCUGAUGCAACAGCGCCGCGUGCGGGAUGACGGCCUUCGGGUUGUAAACCGCUUUCGCCUGUGACGAAGCGUGAGUGACGGUAAUGGGUAAAGAAGCAACGGCUAACUACGUG
rnacentral:rRNA from 1 species